rnacentral:rRNA from 1 species
UGUCCUCCUUCCAUCUCUAUACCGCGAGAGAGAUACAG